AGAGUUUGAUCCUGGCUCAGGACGAACGCUGGCGGCACGCUUAACACAUGCAAGUCGAACGAGAGAAGAGGAGCUUGCUUUUCUGAUCUAGUGGCGGACGGGUGAGUAACACGUGAGCAAUCUGCCUUUCAGAGGGGGAUACCGAUUGGAAACGAUCGUUAAUACCGCAUAACAUAAUUGAACCGCAUGAUUUGAUUAUCAAAGAUUUAUCGCUGAAAGAUGAGCUCGCGUCUGAUUAGCUAGUUGGUAAGGUAACGGCUUACCAAGGCGACGAUCAGUAGCCGGACUGAGAGGUUGAUCGGCCACAUUGGGACUGAGACACGGCCCAGACUCCUACGGGAGGCAGCAGUGGGGAAUAUUGCGCAAUGGAGGAAACUCUGAUGCAGCGAUGCCGCGUGAGGGAAGAAGGUUUUAGGAUUGUAAACCUCUGUCUUCAGGGACGAAAAAAGACGGUACCUGAGGAGGAAGCUCCGGCUAACUACGUGCCAGCAGCCGCGGUAAUACGUAGGGAGCGAGCGUUGUCCGGAAUUACUGGGUGUAAAGGGAGCGUAGGCGGGAUCGCAAGUCAGAUGUGAAAACUAUGGGCUUAACCCAUAAACUGCAUUUGAAACUGUGGUUCUUGAGUGAAGUAGAGGUAAGCGGAAUUCCUAGUGUAGCGGUGAAAUGCGUAGAUAUUAGGAGGAACAUCAGUGGCGAAGGCGGCUUACUGGGCUUUAACUGACGCUGAGGCUCGAAAGCGUGGGGAGCAAACAGGAUUAGAUACCCUGGUAGUCCACGCCGUAAACGAUGAUUACUAGGUGUGGGGGGACUGACCCCUUCCGUGCCGCAGCAAACGCAAUAAGUAAUCCACCUGGGGAGUACGACCGCAAGGUUGAAACUCAAAGGAAUUGACGGGGGCCCGCACAAGCAGUGGAGUAUGUGGAUUAAUUCGAAGCAACGCGAAGAACCUUACCAGGUCUUGACAUCGUAUGCAUAGCUCAGAGAUGAGUGAAAUCUCUUCGGAGACAUAUAGACAGGUGGUGCAUGGUUGUCGUCAGCUCGUGUCGUGAGAUGUUGGGUUAAGUCCCGCAACGAGCGCAACCCUUACUGUUAGUUGCUACGCAAGAGCACUCUAGCAGGACUGCCGUUGACAAAACGGAGGAAGGUGGGGAUGACGUCAAAUCAUCAUGCCCCUUAUGACCUGGGCCUCACACGUACUACAAUGGCUGUCAACAGAGGGAAGCAAAGCCGCGAGGUGGAGCGAACCCCUAAAAGCAGUCUUAGUUCGGAUUGUAGGCUGCAACCCGCCUACAUGAAGUCGGAAUUGCUAGUAAUCGCAGAUCAGCAUGCUGCGGUGAAUACGUUCCCGGGCCUUGUACACACCGCCCGUCACGCCAUGGGAGUCGGUAACACCCGAAGCCUGUAGUCUAACCGCAAGGAGGACGCAGUCGAAGGUGGGAUUGAUGACUGGGGUGAAGUCGUAACAAGGUA
rnacentral:rRNA from 1 species